rnacentral:rRNA from 1 species
AACCCGUGUGGGGAAGCCGUAGCGAAAGCGAGUCCGAACAGGGCGCCCAUAGUUGCAGGGUAUAGACCCGAAGCGAAGCGAUCUAGCCAUGGGCAGGUUGAAGCGCGGGUAAGACCGCGCGGAGGACCGAACCCACCAGGGUUGAAAACCUGGGGGAUGACCUGUGGCUAGGGGCGAAAGGCCAAUCAAACUUCGUGAUAGCUGGUUCUCCCCGAAAGCCAUUUAGGUGCAGCGUCACGUGUUUCUUGCCGGAGGUAGAGCUACUGGAUGGCCGAUGGGCCCUACAAGGUUACUGACGUCAGCCAAACUCCGAAUGCCGGUAAGUGAAAGCGUGGCAGUGAGACUGCGGGGGAUAAGCUCCGUAGUCGAGAGGGAAACAGC